UAAACCAGUUCCUCACGCCGGUGAUGAUGCCAAAAAUUUUCGAGAAAAUCUUGGCUUAUUAUACGUAGAUUGUCAGUAAAGUUAGGGCUUCUGAUUUUCUGGUUAUGUGGAGGAAGAGCAGAGCUUUAGAAGUACGUUCUUUUGCAUUCUUCCAUUCCUAAUUGUAGUUUUGUCGAUUCUUGCUCUGGUUUCUGAAUGUCGAUUUGAUUUCUUUUGUUUUAUUAUAGACGAUUCGGUUGUUUGAACAAACUGGUACGUUUCUCAACUGUAAUCUCGCAUUUCCUUGGGGGUGUGAAUGGUUUUGUAUCUGUUUAGGGGAGUGGUGUGGCCUAAUUGGAAAUUUGAAAUAGGAUUUGUUUCUGUUUCUUCACGAAAUUAACAAGGCUUAAGAUUGCGAUUGUUCACUAGUUCUAGUGUUUCGAUGUUUGAUCCUUGAUUUUAGGAUCGGGUAAGGAGGAUGUGUGUUGUCAUGAUUGAUUUUGGGCCGCGGCAACAAAAGUAGGAAAGCAAUUAGGGAUAUUUCAGUUAAAACCGAAAUAAAGUCAAGCACAGAGAAGAAAAAGCCCUCAGCAGCAAAGAAGACGCAGCGGCAGCCGGCAGACGUGGCACUCGGCGGUUGAUACUCAACAGGACAAAGAAGCGUCAAGGGGUUGACACUGCAACGUGCCGAGAUGGACUCUUUCCAGGCUCCCCGUGCCUUCUCUGUUCUGAUUAAGCAAUUUGGAUGAAGUUGAUUAGUCCUGUUUCUAGUAGGCGGAGGUUCAGCUUAUAGGAUUUAUAAGGGGUUGAAUCCAAAAUGGGAUCAGUUCUGUUAGACGCGGGUUCUUAUAAAUAAUUGCUUCUUAUUUGACUUGAAUCUGUUAGCCCUAGUAUUGUGAUGCCGGAGCUACGAUCUGUGUCGUUGAAAGGGAAACCACCAGCGUAGGGGAGCCGAAGCAGCAGCCAAAAUCCAAAGCAACUUCCUCAUUUGGAUAGAAGAAGUCAACGCUGGGAGUCCCAUAUGCAUCUUCUCCAUUGACGCUUGCAUCUUCUCCAGAUGGGGGUGAGACAAGCGGCGGUGACUGCAAUAGGCUAGGGUCAUUUCAGCGUGGUGAGACAAGCUGCACCAAAGAGGAGAAAGAGAACGAAGGGGCUGGAGGUAGAGAGGGCAAUUGCCGCCACUGGUUAAGGACCGGCUGGGUUUUGCCGCUACUGAAAGGAAGAAGACGAUAAGGGUAAAAUUAGAUUAGACAAGUCAAGCAGUAAGGGCAUACUCAGUCAAUUAACUAAACCUUAGUUUAAGAUAUUCAAAUAUGAAGUGAAGCGCAAUCGAUGCCAGAACCAACAAUAUUAGCGUUGGAGAAAGUCAUACAAACUGCAUAUAGAUUUCAAAAUAUUCUGAACUUUUCGGGUAAAUUAAGCUUUCUACUGAUCUCAUGGUCUAAUGGCCUCAUCAAUUCAAAAUCAUACCCUACUGUUAUAUCUCCUUUUUGAUGUGUUGAGUCUUUACUCUCGAGUGUAUAUCUUGCUCUCCUCUCUCCUUGUAUAGAUUAAUCCAAACAGAGAUGUUAGCCGGUUAGU